UACGGGGGGGGCGAGCGUUGUUCGGAAUUACUGGGCGUAAAGGGCGCGUAGGCGGUCUCGGAAGUUCUGGGUGAAAGUCCCCGGCUCAACCGGGGGAGGUCCCAGGAAACCACGGGGCUGGAGUGCUGGAGAGGGAAGUGGAAUUCCCGGUGGAGCGGUGAAAUGCGUAGAGAUCGGGAGGAACACCGGAGGCGAAGGCGGCUUCCUGGACAGACACUGACGCUGAGGCGCGAAAGCCAGGGGAGCGAACGGGAUUAGAUACCCCGGUAGUCCUGGCCCUAAACGAUGAACACUGGGUGUGGGGGGCGCGAAAGCCUUCCGUGCCGGAGACAACUUGUUAAGUGUUCCGCCUGGGGAGUACGGCCGCAAGGCUGAA
rnacentral:rRNA from 1 species